AUUGAACGCUGGCGGCAUGCCUUACACAUGCAAGUCGAACGGCAGCACGGGGGCAACCCUGGUGGCGAGUGGCGAACGGGUGAGUAAUGCAUCGGGACGUGUCCUCUUGUGGGGGAUAACCAGUCGAAAGACUGGCUAAUACCGCAUGAGAUCGAGAGAUGAAAGCGGGGGACCGCAAGGCCUCGCGCGAGAGGAGCGGCCGAUGCCCGAUCAGCUAGUUGGUGGGGUAAGGGCCCACCAAGGCGACGAUCGGUAGCUGGUCUGAGAGGACGACCAGCCACACUGGGACUGAGACACGGCCCAGACUCCUACGGGAGGCAGCAGUGGGGAAUUUUGGACAAUGGGGGCAACCCUGAUCCAGCCAUGCCGCGUGUGUGAAGAAGGCCUUCGGGUUGUAAAGCACUUUCGGACGGAACGAAAUCGCGCGGGCGAGUAUCCCGCGUGGAUGACGGUACCGUAAGAAGAAGCACCGGCUAACUACGUGCCAGCCGCCGCCGUAA
rnacentral:rRNA from 1 species